UCUUCUCUUCAAAUAUUUGGUAUUUUAGCUUUGGUUUGAUGAGAAUCAUCGUCCUCUCAUUUCUUCAAAACUAGUUUAUUACUUCAACUGAUAUGAGUAUUGUGUUCCUGGUGCUUUUUGAUUACUGCACUAGAUUCAGAUUUAUGUUCACUGCUGCAUCUUUUUUGCAUUUAUUUUUUAGGCCUUUUCCCGCUGUAAUUAUGCUAUUGUCAUCGCUGUAUCGAUUGUUAAAGCUGUAUCUACUAAUAAAGUUCAUCUCACCCAGAAAUUCUAGUGGGCAUCUCCCUUUUCCCAUUAGUGUUGAGAUUUUGCUCCCAUAUACAUAAUUGCCGAUUAAUUAUAUAAACAAUUUCUUCUUUAUAUGUAAUUGUUACACUAGUAAUGAUGGAUUGGGAAACUGAAAUGACGCACAAGUUUAUUUGCAUAUUGCUCCAACAAUUUUGUUUUUCAUCUUUUAUUUAUUUAUUUUUUCUGGUGUGGAAUUAAAGUCAGUCUUCAUAAACGUAUUGUACUUCAGUUUCACUAUACAUGUUUAGGAAACAUUUGAUUUGUUUUCAAGAGCUCAAUCAUGCCUGUUACUUGUGACAAUUAUUUUUAGGUAUUGUUUCUAUCCUGUGAAUCCGAUUUUGUCCUCUUUUUAAGGGGGUUUAGCUGGCAUGAAUAAUUUCGUGCUCUUUUUAAAUUCUAGGAUUUAUUAUUUACGUAUUGAUAUUGCAUAUGGAUGAGUCCAAUAAGCUAAGAACUGAUUUCUUCUCGUUCUUAAGCUGUCUUAUAUUUUCCGUAACUCCUUUUCCAUCUUUGCAGUAUUGGAGAUCUUCUUCCUCCUCUAUGCUCGUUUCCUAUAUCAGGACUUUUUUUUUUCUUUCUUUUAGGAAGUGAUUCUUGGCUGCAUGGUAUCAGUGUCCAAUAUCAAGCUAGAGAAGUAUGCUUGGUUUCUUUUAUGGGAGAUUCCUUUCGAACUUUGUUCUGCUAGACUCUUGCUCACCACUUCAAAGAUAUGUCUAACGGCGGAGUUCACCUGAUGGAUAUUUUUGGUUGAAAGAUAGCACUACCAUCAAAAGCACAUAGUGUAUGUUCUAUAGGUGUAGCUUUGCGCGAAUAUAUGGAGAAAGAAAGGCCCAAUCAAACGGGUGUAGUCGGUGAGAACAUUCUCUCUUCUACUGAGGAUGAAGAACCAAGAACUGACAGAACAUGUCUUAAUGUAGACAAGGAAGCUGUCUCGGAAACUUGUCGAGUUUGUCAGUGUUCCGAACCUGAUAGAAGGGGAAAUAUUGCCCUGGGAUUCUUGGGUAUAUCUCCACCAGUAUGUGAUCUUACAAAUGGUAAAGAGGAGGUUAAGUCUAAUUUGAAAGUCACCUCAGGGAAUAUUGAAAAUAAUUCACUUUAUAAAAGAUCUGAGUUGGUUGAGUUUGUUAGCCCAAAUGGGGAGGUUUUUCUCUGUACAGCUGAUGUAGAGCUAGGUCUUGAGGACAGCCAGGACAGGCUGUUCGAGCUUGGCUGUGCUUGCAAAAAUGAUCUUGCAUUAGCACAUUACGCUUGUGCCCUUAAGUGGUUUAUCAGCCAUGGAUCAACUGUCUGCGAAAUAUGUGGAUCUAUUACGAAGAAUAUAAGACCUGAAGAUUACAAAAGGAUAUUAGGUUCUUUAAAAGAGUAUGAAGCAUUGAGAGAAAGAACUGUUAAUGGAGAACCUAAUCCUGCAGCACCACAAACAAAUUAUGGUGUGGAUCCUGAUGCUGUUGCUGCAAUUCGAAGGCAGAGGUUAAGCGAAAUUUCAUUGUGGUUUAAUCCACAUAACAACAACUCUAUCACUGUUUCCCAGGUGGUCAGCGAGCAACCUUCAGCUUCUAAUACUGUCUUGGAAGAGGUUGCCCCUGUUGAAAAUACUGCUACUAAAUGGGCUGUGGAGGGUACCGGGAUCCUGCUUGCUACAGGUCUGCUGACUGUUACUCUUGCUUGGCUUCUCGCCCCGCAUGUGGGAAAGAAAACUGCCAAAAAUGGCUUGCAUAUUCUUCUUGGAGGUGUCUGUGCAUUGACUGUUGUAGUUUUCUUCCGAUUCGUAAGUUCAGUUGCUUUUUAGUUGAUAUCUCUCUCAGAAAUAGAUAAACUUUAUCAUAAUUUUAAGGGAUUUUAGAAAAUAUAUAUUAAAUUACUAUAUUAUCGUGAGAAUUUAAAAUAAAUAAGGAUAUUGUAGGUAUAUCAAAAUUGGUAAGAACACACCUUUAUAAUAUAAGUAGAUUAGUUAGAAUUAGUUAUGAUCAUUAGUGCCUAACGUGUAGGAAAUGAAUGCAGCUGCCUUCAUCACGAUUAGAGCUAGGAGUUUUCAUAGGAUACAUUGCAUUGUGAUGUGUAAAUAAAACAUUUGUUCUCCAAACAUUGGAUGUUUUAAAGGUAAGUGCCAAAAAAUUCCUAAACUUCAACAUUUUAACAAAAUAAGCCAUCCAUUUAGAUUUGACAUUUUAACACCCCACCUUUCAAGUGUUGUGGGGAAAUGAUCCACUGCCACUUUUAUGGCACAUGCAUGCUUUACGUCAACCAUCAAAUAUGAAAAAUAAAAAUAAAAAUAAAAAAGGACAACUUCGAUCCCUUUUUAGCUAACAUGGAAACCUCAUCCAAAUCCAAAAUAACUUCCAUACUUUCUGUUGCUAGAAAGCAAGCUGUUGUCUGUGCAUUUUGAAACUUUAUCAUGGAAUUUCGGUCUCCACUACAAUUCUUGCUAUGAAUUUCUUCAAGAGAUAUUUUUGGCUGUACAAGUUUUGUAAACCAGAAAUCCUAAUUGAUGUAGCUUGUGACUCUUGCUAUUCUCUCUUACAUAACCAAAGUGUACAUUCUUGGAUUCAUGGGUUGUUUUUCUUAUUUUUCUUGAAAAUCAUAUAUUUUCCGUGGAUAUUAUGUUUUCUUGGCCAUUAGUGGAGGGGUACAAAAUACUCGUUUGAGGCAAAAACCAUUCAAAAAUGGAACUUUUGGUUCUUUCUGUACUAAAUUGAUGGAUGAGUCCAGCCAAAAUCCAGGCGAAAAGCAUUUCUUUCUACAUUUUUUUCAUUUUUCCUUGUGUAGGACUAGGAUAUCAUUUUUGAAAAAAAUAAGAAAGUUAUAUAAAUUAGGUAUUAAAGCAAAUCUGAUUACACUUAUUAAAAACUGUCUCAGUUAUAGGGUUGGUAUUUUUAAAAAAAAUCUUUUUUGGCAUCUUGCCUAAUUAUAAUAUAAUGAUAGGAUAUGUGGCUUACUCUUCCAAAAUGUUGGGUAGGAUAUGUAAGUUCCAGUCGGUGUCAAUAGGGAGAAAAUUAAUGGUCAGGAAACCUAACCUGCAUUACACUAGAUAGUUUCUGAAGUUGCAUUAUGGCCUAUGGGGCUAUUAAGGAGGGAUGUUUUUAAAUGGGAUCCAUAAAACUCUCGGAUCCUUUCCGGUGCUUGAUUUGAGGAUUUGGUGUAGUUGUCAAUUCGUUCUAACAAGAAUCAAGUACGGGCCUGCUCGUUACUGGGCAAUCUUGUUUGUAUUCUGGUUUCUUGUGUUUGGGAUAUGGGCAUCACGAACACACGGCUCUCAUGCCACAUGAUGCUUUGUUUUCCUUCCUCUUCCCACUCACUGGUGAAUAUGUUUCAAUCUUUUGUGUCUAUUUAUUCAUCUUAUGUAGUUAGUAGUUAGUGAUAAUACAAUCUAUUAUGAUGAUUGUUC